GACGAACGCUGGCGGCGUGCUUAACGCAUGCAAGUCGAACGGUAAGGCCCUUCGGGGUACACGAGUGGCGAACGGGUGAGUAACACGUGGGUGAUCUGCCCUGCACUUCGGGAUGAGCCUGGGAAACUGGGUCUAAUACCGGAUAGGACCACUGCCUGCAUGGGUGGUGGUGGAAAGCUUUUGCGGUGUGGGAUGGGCCCGCGGCCUAUCAGCUUGUUGGUGGGGUGAUGGCCUACCAAGGCGACGACGGGUAGCCGGCCUGAGAGGGUGACCGGCCACACUGGGGCUGAGAUACGGCCCAGACUCCUACGGGAGGCAGCAGUGGGGAAUAUUGCACAAUGGGCGCAAGCCUGAUGCAGCGACGCCGCGUGAGGGAUGACGGCCUUCGGGUUGUAAACCUCUUUCAGCACCGACGAAGCGCAAGUGACGGUAGGUGCAGAAGAAGGACCGGCCAACUACGUGCCAGCCGCCGCAGUAA
rnacentral:rRNA from 1 species